rnacentral:lncRNA from 9 species
GGAAUUUUGAAGAAGAAGCUGUGCCCCCAGUCAUGUUCCCAGAUAAGCCCUCGACAUCUCUGCUAUUAAUUCUGUUUCUUUAGCAUGUUUUCAAACUCCACGAAAGCAGUUUUUCCUUAAGAGUAUUUUUCUUUGGAAUUAAGUCUUUUAUCUUUGUCUUGACUUGUGUAUCAGUCAAUGAUUAGCCGUUUGUUAAUGUUAUCUUUUGUGUACUAAAGCGUGAGAUUGUUUAGAGUAAUUAAAUCAUGGGAUGUCUCCCAUACUCAUCUUACUGCUGAUAUGCUUUUCAUCUAGGUGAUAAAAGCUAGACAGACAUUAAUCCACAUCAAAUUGUCUCAUGAUAACUUGAAAAAUUAUGAGAGAAUGUUAUCUAAUCAUGAAAAUAAGUUAAAUUCUUCCUUUUCUAUAGGCAAGAGGGUUUUUUUUUUCCCCCCUCUAUUUACAAAGCAGACAGAAAAUCAGUGAGAAGGGCCAUUUUUCUAUUCCGUUAUGGGACACAUGAUAUAUUUAUUGUUUUGAAGAUUUGUUUUUUAGAGCCGAUUUGUCAAAAGGACAGCCUGACCCGUGUCUUCUCUGCAUGGCAACUGAAUGCCAAACAAACGUCUCCUUUAUCCCAAAGACAUCGUUCUGUACUAUUUGGGGAGAGGAUGAUGCUUAACUUAGCAGCAGGAACUUACUUGACGGGAGUACCUUCUGAUGGGAAGCUUAUUUCACAGACCUCUGUAGAGAAGAUGUUCUGAGGAACAUUUCAUCUGGGUUGUCAUACCUUUGUAAUCUAUACCACUGAGAGUCUUGGGGUUGAAUAUUUUGCUUAAGAGGAUCUGGUAUUGUCACCAGGAUUUUCUCACAAGCCAUUGACGCCCCUUCUGUACAUGGAGAUACCCAUGAAGAGAUGAUGACAACUACACCAUGACUGCCACUGGGCCAGCGGCAGUUACGAUGUGCACCCAAUUUCAGAGAUGCAAAAAGGUGAGAAAUACACAUUUUAGAAUCUAUCAAGUAUGGAAAUGUUAUCCCUGGUCAUAAUCUAGGUGCAUUUUUCCAUUUGAAAUAAAAUUGUUUUUCUCCCAUGACCUAGGGGAUUUCUCUAUCUGUAUAAGCUUAUUGAGGGGGAAACUGUAGAAAAUCUUUCCGUGGCUGGAUUUUAGUAAUCCCAGCAACAGCAUUAAUGAAUUGGAUUAUUUUAUACGUAAACCAACCCCGUCCAAUUCUAUGCAGGCUUUGAGAUUUAACCAUGUUUGAGAAAGUUUUCCACUAAAACUCCUGAGCUUUUAAGUUAUGUGGGGUCUUAAGUAAAUUCCUCAUCUUAUCUCAUCUGAUAUCCAAGGGUAGCUUUGUCAAAGUGAAGUCAAGUAUUGACAAUCCCUCAGAAACCUCAGAAGAAUGAAUCAAAGAAAAAUGAUUUAAAGCUGAAAGAUUUAAGUAGAAGUUGGAAAUCUUUUAAAAAAUGGAACAGACCCUUUCCUGAAUUUGCUAAUGCUGGCUUUGGAAUGUGAAUAGAACAGCAGACUGAGAGCAGAGAUGAAUCUUGGGAUAUCAUUUUGUCUAUUGCAAAAGGAAUAGCUAGCAUCCUGGCCAGAUGAUAACAUGUUGCUGCUGAUCCCAGAAGCUAUUCUCCUAAAAACAGAUCCCCUAACCUGAGGAACCAUUCAGUGCCUCACUGCCCGAGAAAGAUACUCCAGAUUUUUGUUGAUAUUACUUAUUCUUGGCUUUAGAAGAAAGAAAGAUGACCUUGUCCUUUAUAUAGCAAAGGGGAUGCAGAGUAUAAGGGUUAAAAAGAUGGUUCCAGAACCAGAUUUGAAUCCCAGCUCUGUAGCUCUGAGAAUUUAUUAGCCAUGUGACACUGGGCUAAUUUUUUAAUGUCUCUGUGUCUUGUUUUCUUAUCUAUGAAGUGGAAAAAAAUGGAGUUCCCACUGUGACUCAGAAGAUUAAGAAUCUGA